AGAUGAAUCCGCGUCCCAUUAGUUAGUUGGCGGGGUAACGGCCCACCAAGACGAUGAUGCGUAGCCGACCUGAGAGGGUGACCGGCCACACUGGGACUGAGACACGGUCCAGACUCCUACGGGAGGCAGCAGUGGGGAAUCUUCCGCAAUGGGCGAAAGCCUGACGGAGCAACGCCGCGUGAGCGAAGAAGGUCUUCGGAUUGUAGGAUUUCCUGUGAAUAAUGGGAAGAAAUGACGGUACAAUAAGAGGAAGCCACGGCUAACUACGUGCCAGCAGCCGCGGUAAUACGUAGGUGGCAAACGUUGUCCGGAAUUACUGGGCGUAAAGGGCGAGUAGGUGGUUUGCUAAGUCAGAAGUGAAAACUCCGGCUCAACUUGGAGACUGCUCUACGAAACUGGUAGACUUGAGUGCAAGAGAGGGAAGUGGAAUUCCUAGUGUAGCGGUGAAAUGCGUAGAUAUUAGGAGGAACACCAGUGGCGAAGGCGACUUCCUGGCUUGUAACUGACACUGAGGCGCGAAAGCGUGGGGAGCAAACAGGAUUAGAUACCCUGGUAGUCCACGCCGUAAACGAUGAGUACUAGGUGUCGGGAUCGCGAGGUCUCGGUGCCGCAGCUAACGCAUUAAGUACUCCGCCUGGGGAGUACGGCCGCAAGGUUGAAACUCAAAGGAAUUGACGGGGGCCCGCACAAGCAGCGGAGCAUGUGGUUUAAUUCGAAGCAACGCGAAGAACCUUACCAGAACUUGACAUCGUCUGAAUUACUCUUAAUCGAGGAAGCCUUUCGGGGCAGAUAGACAGGUGGUGCAUGGUUGUCGUCAGCUCGUGUCGUGAGAUGUUGGGUUAAGUCCCGCAACGAGCGCAACCCUUAUUGCUAGUUGCCAGCACGUAAAGUCGGGCACUCUAGUGAGACUGCCGGAGACAAUUCGGAGGAAGGUGGGGAUGACGUCAAAUCAUCAUGCCCCUUAUGUUCUGGGCUACACACGUGCUACAAUGGCCGGUACAAAGGGCUGCAAACCCGUAAGGGGGAGCGAAUCCCAUAAAGCCGGUCUCAGUUCAGAUCGGAGGCUGCAAUUCGCCUCCGUGAAGCUGGAAUCGCUAGUAAACGCAGAUCAUCAUGCUGCGUUGAAUACGUUCUCGGGCCUUGUACACACCGCCCGUCACACCAUGGGAGCCAGUAACACCCGAAGCCGGUGAGCUAACUUAACGGAGGCAGCUGUCGAAGGUGGGAUUGGUGACUGGGGUGAAGUCGUAACAAGGUAACCU
rnacentral:rRNA from 1 species